rnacentral:ncRNA from 1 species
UAAAGUGGAUUUUGUCUUAUUUAAAAUUUGAUUAUGGUUUUGGAAGAGUUUAAAAUGAUAUUAUUUAAGUGUAAUUUAUGUAGAUGGGCAAUGAUUUUUUACCCUCUCAAUUUAUUAUUUGUAAAAAAUUGGUUCCAGAAUAAUCGGCUAUGCUAGUUAUGUUUAUACUUUAUUUUUGUUAGAGAUACAUAUUUUUAGAAGGAAAUUUUUAUAUUUGAGGUUAAAUUUAAAUUAUUUUUAUGUUUGAGUUGUAUUUUUUAAAUUUUGUUUAUCGAAUUAGAUUAGUACCUAAUUAGUCAAAAGUUAAUAUUUUCAGGAGUAAAGUAGUAUUUAAACUGAAAGAAUAUUGGCAGAUUUUCUAAAUUAUCUUUGGAGGCUGAGUGAUAAUUGAGAACCCUCAUUAACUAUUUUUUUUUUUAGCUCAUGUAUGAUCGUUUAUUUUUUAUUUGAGAUAAAAAAUUUUAAUUUUUUAUUUGUAAAAAUAGAUAUAUAUUUGGUUUAUGAAUUUAGUUUUAUUUGGCCUACAUUAUUUUGUGAUGUGGAUUAAUAAUUUAGUUUUUUUAUGAAAAUGUAAAAGACAGUAAAUUAAAUUUUAUGUUUUUUUGAAGAUUACUUAGAAGUGGUACAAAUCAUCCAUCAAUUGCCUAUAGGGGAGUAAGUUGUAGUAAAGUAGGUUUAGGGGAACCUGAACCUAGUAUAU